rnacentral:ncRNA from 1 species
GAAUCAGCAGGGAGAGAAAACCCUGUUGAGCCUGCUUCUAGUCUAGCAUGGUGAAGAGAAAUGAGAGGUGCAGAAUAAGUGGGAGGGCCCCUGGUGCCCCACCUCCCCUGUCCCUGCGAGGCAGCGGGGUGGGGUGCACCGCCCUUGCAGGCCACCAGUGAAAUAUUCUGAUCAUUCUUUCACUGACCGAGUGAGGCGCAGGGGUGGGGAGAGCGGAGUGUGUGGCAGUUGCAAGCCCUAACAGGCUCUCAUUUCUGGUGCCAAGUGCCCCACCGGGGCCAGUGCCAGGUGGGGAGUUUGACUGAGGCCGUAUACCUGCAAAUGGUGUCCUAAGGCGAGCUCAGAGAGAACAGAAACCUCCCAUGGAACAGAAGGGCAAAAGCUCACUUGAUCUUGAUUUUUAGUACAAAUACAGACCGUGAAAGCGGAUCCUCACGAUCCUUCUGACCUUUGGGGUUUUAAGCAGGAAGUGUCAGAAAAGUUACCACAGGGAUAAUUGGCUUGUGGUGGCCAAAUGUUCAUAGUGACAUUGCUUUUUGAUCCUUUGAUGUCGGCUCUUUCUAUCAUUUUGAAGCAGAAUUCCCCAAGCGUUGGGGUGUUCACCCACUAAUUGGGGAAGUGAGCUGGAACUAGACUGUGGUGAGACAGAUUAGUUUUACCCUACUGAUGUGUUGUUGCCAUGAUAAUCCUGCUCAGUAGGAGAGGAACUGCGGGUUCAGACAUUCGGUGUAUGUGCUUGGCUGAGGAGUAAAUGGGUCAAAGCUACCAUCUGUGGGAUUAUGACUGAAUGCCUCCAAGUCAGAAUCCCAUCCAGGCAGAACAAUAUGGCAGCGCUGGGAAUCCUCAGCCAGUGCCCUGCCAUCCCUGCCAGCGGCCUGCCACCCAUGUCCCUCUGUGCACAGCAUGGCGUGCCCUGCUGCAUGCUGGGACCAGGUCAUGUAUUAGGACCGGGUGUGGUGCAGAAAGCCUUUCAUCCUAAGACAAGGGCCACAGUCAGAAAGGCAGCUGCCCUCUCGCCUGUCACCACCACAGGUUUGCGGGGAACCUGGUGCUAAACCAUUGGUAGAUGACCUGCUUCUGGGUUGGGGUUUCAUAGGCAGCAGAGCAGCUCCCUUGCUAUGAUCUAUUGAAAGUCAGUUCUGGACACAAGGGUUU